AAUGAACGCUGGCGGCGUGCUUAACACAUGCAAGUCGAACGAGAAAGUGGACUUCGGUCCGCGAGUAAAGUGGCGCACGGGUGAGUAACGCGUGAAUAAUCUACCCCUGAAUUUGGGACAACAGUUCGAAAGGGCUGCUAAUACCGGAUAAUAUGAUUUUUACUACGGUUUGAAUCAUCAAAGAGGGCCUCUCCUUGGAAGCUUUUGUUUGGGGAUGAGUUCGCGUACCAUUAGCUUGUUGGUGGGGUAACGGCCUACCAAGGCUGCGAUGGUUAGCUGGUUUGAGAGAAUGAUCAGCCACACUGGAACUGACACACGGUCCAG
rnacentral:rRNA from 1 species